CCAAUUCUUCUAUUUUAAAAUUAUUGGGGACGAUUUUUCUUAUAUAGUAUAGUGAAUCUGAUCCAAAAUAGGGACCAAAAAUUUAGCUAAUAAACAAGAGAACUUAAAAAAAAUAGCAAUAUUUAAUUUUUAUGAGUUGUAAAGGGAAGAAAAGUGACGGCAAUUAGGUUUUUUAUUAGUAAAGAAGAGUAAAUUUCACAAUCUUCUCCAUCAAAUUCACCUGGUGGAUAUAAAUUUCCCAACAUGGAAAUCCAACAUCAAGCAGAAAAUGCUCAAAAUCUCCUCAAGAGUAGACUGUCCUGCUGUGUAAACCUGCUUUCAUCUUCAAACCUCUCCCCGGCUCUCCAGAUGAAAACUAUAGUUUUUAUGGAGAAGGUAUUGCAAUUAUUGAUGAACUUGUAGAACCGAGGCGUCAAUUAGGAGAAAUGACUAAUCGGAUACUAAUGCACGAAUGCCUCAAUAUAGAAUUCUUGGAAAGACUCGAUAGUAUGUAUAUUGGACUUCAGUUUACAUAUAGUCAAGUUGAUUUUGACAGCGUGUGAUUAGGCGGAACGGUGGAAUAAUUUUCAUGAAGAUUAUGAAUCCAGUUAAUGUUCAUUAUUUAUACAUUAUUAUCUUAGUGUAUUCUUUUGAAUAUUUUUUAGUAUAUUUAUUUUUAACAUGUAUUUUUAUGUUAGACAUAAUUUUUAGUUUCAGUGGAUUAUUGUUUGUUCA